ensembl:lncRNA
AGGUUUCUGACAACAGAUUCCUCAUGACCUGCCUCUCCCUCCUGGACUUGCUCUGUGCUCUACCUGCUUGCUGCCUAAGGAUGGCCCCUCUGUUGCGGCUCUCCUCCCCAGAAGGUGUCUGCCAUCAGAUCCCUCACUACGGACUGCAUGCUGACAGACUUUCCUGGGCCUGCUACCUGAGACCUGCUGCUUCCUCCUGGACUUACUCUGCAGCUUCUUCCUGGACCCACCCAGUACCUGCACCCUCUCGUUGCCCAAGACCAGCCUCGCUGCUCCUGCCCUUUGGCCUUGGACCAUCGGAACGUCGUGCAACGGGACUACUGCCGGAUCCUGGUGGUGACUAUCCCCACUUAACGCAAUUCUUGCUUCUUUCUAUCUUUUCUAUCGCUCGCCUUCCCUUCCCCAUCACCCCAAUCCAUGAUAGUGUCCGUCCUCCCCUUUCUUCAUCUCCCUUAUUAACAUUUGUAAUAAACAGGUCGGACCAACAUUUGAACUGUUGCUUCUUAAUCUCACACCGGGUACACACAUUUCAAAGAACCUCCUCUCCCUCCUAUAAAUUGGAGCGAGACAGACUCAAAUAGCUUGGAGGUUGGAGAAAACACGGCACGGCUACAUCCAGAACAUCCAGAACGCUACUAAUCAGAAGUUUGAUGCUUGAUGUUCCAUGGUGUACUAAUAUCCAGCAAAGCUGAUUUAGCAGUAUAAGAAGAUGUCUUAGACUCUGUCGUGUAUAUGAAAUUUUGUUCUGACCAAUGUAUAAAGUGCGUUGCUUAUGAGGGAUUUAUUUAUUUAUUUAUGUAUUUAUUUAUAAUCCUUUACCCAUAAAAAUGCCAUGUCUGUUAGGACUUGUUACAUCCUCGCGCUUAAAAAAUAUGCAGUAGUUAUGAAGAAACUCUUUAUGGGAUUAAAUCUAUUGCCUGAGUGUAAAGAGUAUAUCUCCAUUAGGUGAACAGGAGGAAAGGAACAAUGCAACACCUGUACUGAGCUAAUUUACAUGUUUGACCCACUUCUACAAGCAGCUUAUUUAGUGGCCAACCCACUGUGGGAGAACUGUACAGAUGAUGAAUUAACAAUAUCUUGUCAGCACUCUCUAAUAAUAUUGUAUUAAAUCCCUGCCCUAAAUUCACAGAGCAUAGAGAUAAAUACCUUUUCUUUAUAUUUAACAAUUUAUCUAAUACUAUAGGUACAGACAUGUGAAUGGGAUUUAAAUUUCCUUUUUGUAUUUUUUUGUCUCUACUUUUUUUUAAAUAAAAUAAA